rnacentral:rRNA from 1 species
AGAGUUUGAUCCUGGCUCAGGAUGAACGCUGGCGGCGUGCCUAAUACAUGCAAGUCGAGCGAACAGACGAGGAGCUUGCUCCUUUGACGUUAGCGGCGGACGGGUGAGUAACACGUAGGUAACCUACCUAUAAGACUGGGAUAACUUCGGGAAACCGGAGCUAAUACCGGAUAAUAUUUCGAACCGCAUGGUUCGAUAGUGAAAGAUGGCUUUGCUAUCACUUAUAGAUGGACCUGCGCCGUAUUAGCUAGUUGGUAAGGUAACGGCUUACCAAGGCAACGAUACGUAGCCGACCUGAGAGGGUGAUCGGCCACACUGGAACUGAGACACGGUCCAGACUCCUACGGGAGGCAGCAGUAGGGAAUCUUCCGCAAUGGGCGAAAGCCUGACGGAGCAACGCCGCGUGAGUGAUGAAGGUCUUCGGAUCGUAAAACUCUGUUAUUAGGGAAGAACAAACGUGUAAGUAACUGUGCACGUCUUGACGGUACCUAAUCAGAAAGCCACGGCUAACUACGUGCCAGCAGCCGCGGUAAUACGUAGGUGGCAAGCGUUAUCCGGAAUUAUUGGGCGUAAAAGCGCGCGUAGGCGGUUUUUUAAGUCUGAUGUGAAAGCCCACGGCUCAACCGUGGAGGGUCAUUGGAAACUGGAAAACUUGAGUGCAGAAGAGGAAAGUGGAAUUCCAUGUGUAGCGGUGAAAUGCGCAGAGAUAUGGAGGAACACCAGUGGCGAGGCGUUUUUUCUGGUCUGUAACUGACGCUGAUGUGCGAAAGCGUGGGGAUCAAACAGGAUUAGAUACUCUGGUAGUCCACGCCGUAAACGAUGAGUGCUAGGUGUUAGGGGGUUUCCGCCCCUUAGUGCUGCAACUAAACGCAUUAAGCACUCCGCCUGGGGAGUACGACCGCAAGGUUGAA